rnacentral:ribozyme from 1 species
GUUCGGGAUCCAUGCUCUUAUCGACUGCGUAGCCCAAGUUUGCGAUGUAACGCUGGGUUCCGAAACUGUCAAUCAUCUUCUG